CGAUAUGUUGUGUGCGUCGGUGCCCGACCAGAUAUUUAACUGGCGGGCUUGAGGGAAUCCGGUGUAACUCCGGAACUGCCCCGCAGCGGUAGAGCGGAAACGAACGUCCCCACAUGCACUGGCCCUCGGUGGCCGGGAAGCGAGGACAAGUAGGCGGAUCGCCAGAUCCAUGUCCGCAAGUCCGAAGACCUGCCGGCACACCGGGACGAAC
rnacentral:ncRNA from 2 species